rnacentral:tRNA from 1 species
GCCCGUUUAGCUCAGUGGUAGAGCGCGCCACUUGUAAGUCAUGGACUUGACAUGCUAUGGUGAGGUCGGUUGUUCAAUCCAGCCAAUGGGCA